rnacentral:tRNA from 1 species
GGGUCUUUAGCUCAGUCGGUAGAGCAGUUGCCUUUUAAGCAAUUGGUCGCGGGUUCGAGUCCCGCAGGACCCA